AUUGAACGCUGGCGGCAGGCCUAACACAUGCAAGUCGAACGAGUGGCGGACGGGUGAGUAAUGUCUGGGAAACUGCCUGAUGGAGGGGGAUAACUACUGGAAACGGUAGCUAAUACCGCAUACCAUCGGAUGUGCCCAGAUGGGAUUAGCUAGUAGGUGGGGUAAAGGCUCACCUAGGCGACGAUCCCUAGCUGGUCUGAGAGGAUGACCGGCCACACUGGAACUGGGACACGGUCAAAAGUCCUACGUGAGGCAGAGGUGGGGAAUAGUGCACAAUGGGCGCAAGCCUGAUGCAGCCAUGCCGCGUGUAUGAAGAAGGCCUUCGGGUUGUAAAGUACUGUCAGCGGGGAGGCGUUACCCGCAGAAGAAGCACCGGCUAACUCCGUGCCAGCAGCCGCGGUAAUA
rnacentral:rRNA from 1 species